GCAGCUGAAAACCAUCUGCUGAAGGCUGGAGCGGGGCCGUGACAGCAGGCUAGCCGAGGCUGCAGGAAGGGCUCGGCUCGGUCCAGAGGAGACACGGUGGUCACCAGUGGCCAGUGGAUUUUGGCUUUCUGGACUCUCCAGCCUGGAAGCAUGUCACUAACGCCAGUAAUGAUGAUCUGGAGGCCACAGCUGUUCACCGCUCUUUGGAGGAGCAAAGCAAAGCGGCAUGACCUGUGGCAGAGGAGCUCAUUGCCAGAACUGGAGUAAAGGCUCAGUGACUAAGCUUACUGGAAAACAGAGUUUCUGCUGGGUGGAAAGAAGCAAAUUGGAGGAAGGAAACUUUGCAUGUGCUCCAUUUGGGCAUACUUGCAGUGGGGACAUCUUGCUAGCCGAAUGCCUCGUCAAGCCUAUUUCCUCUUGCAAAGUGAGCCUGGCAGGAGCCUUCCAGACAGGUAGCGGGGCUCCAUCUGUUCAGUUCUCCUACCAGGAAGCUGAUUUUUCUUAGGGCAAAACUUUAAAUUUCUCUUGGAUAGUUUUAUUUCUGUGAAAAGGGAUAUUUUUUCAUCAGAAAAAAUAUUAUAAAGGAAAACUAGCCUAAUCUGCUCUGGAAAAAAAAAAAAAGCUGCUUACAAACAUUUGUUAGGCAGAAGCCGUAGUUUUGAUUCGGAGAUGAUGGGCUCAUCAAAGGCAAGCUUUCAGUUUCCUACGAGGGGAUAAGCCAUCCUAGGAAUACUGAUCCCCCUCAUUUUUAGAGGAGAUCAUUCAGAGUUCUCAUUUUCAUUGCCAGUAAUUCUGUUAUGAGCAGAUAAUUCUAUUAUCUAUCAUCAAUUAUUCUAUUAUCAGAUGGCAUUCGUUCAUGGUAUAAUUAUGAAUAAUUACAUCAAUUAUUCUCUCAAUUUGAGUCUUGAUACACAUUGUUUGUAGUCUGAAAACAACACCACAACAGGUCUGGGCUGUCUGCAGAAUUCAGGAAAGGAGAUUGCACCUUGGAUCAGAUCACCAUGACAAGUGUCCCGCGCAUCACCGGAGCCUCUAGAGACAUCCUCGCAGAGCUAUUCUGGCACAACCAAGUAUCCCUUUCCUCUUAAAAGUGUGAAACCUGAUAUAGGAUUGUUUUGACUGAUCUAAACACUAGAGGCAGUGAUUACAGGUAGCAGCUCUUCCUGAAGGGGAAAACAAAAUUGCCAGCUCAUGGGAACAGCAGGAAGAAGACGAACAAGACCUUCCUCAAAGUCUGAUCUCUCUCUGAAAAUCAAUGCAAGAGCUGAGAUCUCCCUGUAUACAAAUGGUGAGGCCUGCCACAGAGACCCGAGGAGAGUUGUCACUUUUAUCCUUACAGUCUUACACUGAAGAACUUCUCGUGGAGGCCCAUAAAUCCCUGAAGGAAUUCAGGGAUGGGCUGGCGUGCUGCCAGCUUGCAUUAACGGAUACCACUGCUGCCUGGCCAGCAGGCUGUAAUUUGAUGUCUGUGGGCAGAACCUGGAUGGGUAUAUUUAAUAUAUCGUCUGGUUCCCCAGGGUGAUGUACUACCAGUGACAUUUUGUAAAUCAGUGCAUGGCCAUAAGCAAAGCCAUUCUCUGUGCUUGGAGAAUUCCUGGAACACUUUAAAAAGGCACAGUAAUAAAUAAAAUGUCAUAAUGUUAAUCUCCUAAUAUAGUUUAAGUAUAUUUACUAAUUACAAGUACAGAAGAGAGCAAAACUAGAAACGGGAUAAGCUUCCUUUCCCCUAUGAGAAGCUAAUAAAAAAAAAGAGGAUGACCAGCUGAGUGCAAGAAACAAUUAUCUAAUGCAUUAUUCACAGAUGGAGAAAAAGGA